GUCCGGCUAGCUCAGUCCAAAGAGCAUGAGAUUCUUAACCUCAGGGUCAUGGGUUUGAGCCCCAUGUUGGGCA
rnacentral:tRNA from 1 species